GGUUAGUCCUAGUCUUUAAGGUCAUCACUAUUGGCAGGUCCCAAUCUUUAAGGUUCUCUCUCUUGGUUAUUCCCAAUAUUUAUGCUUCUAUGCAGUGAGUAGUCUGCAUUUUUAAUUUUCUCACUCUUGGCUACUCCAAGUCUUAAAAGUUCUUACUUUUACUUAGUUCCAGUUUUUAAGGUUUUCCCUCUUAUUUAGCUCCAGUAUUUAAUGUUCUGCCUCUUGGUUAGCCUCUGUAGUUAAGGUUCUAUUUAUUGUCCAUUAACCUUUUAAGUAUUUUGUAGUCUGAGUUUUAAGGUUCUGACUCUUGGUUAGUGCAAAUCUUAAAAUUUUACAUCUUGGCUAAUCCCAGUGUUUAACAUUGUAAACCUUGUGUAGUUCAAGUUUUUAAGCUUCUUCUCUUGGUUAGUUUCAGUCUUUAAUGCUCUCUCUCUCUUGAUUAGUCCUAGUUACUAAGGUUCUCCUUCUUGGUUAGUCCUUGAUAUUAAGGUUCUCCUUCUUGGUUAGUCCUUGAUAUAAGGUUCUCCUUCUUGGUUAGUCAUUGAUAUUAAGGUUCUCCUUCUUGGUUAGUCCUUGAUAUUAAGUUCCUCCUCCUUGAUUAGUCCUAAUUAUUAAAGUUCUCCCUCUUGGUUAGUCCCAGUUUUGAAGAUGUUCACUCUUGGUAUUAUGGUUCAUACGGUUCAUUCAUACUGGAACACCAAUGUUCUGUUAUCACGAAAGGAAAUACACGAGCGGACUGCUGCACAAAGACAGAAUUUUGUCAAUA
ensembl:lncRNA